rnacentral:rRNA from 1 species
UAAGGAAUAUUGGUCAAUGGACGCAAGUCUGAACCAGCCAUGCCGCGCGAAGGAUGAAGGUCCUCUGGAUUGUAAACUUCUUUUAUCUGGGACGAAAACGGGAUUUUUAUCUCAAUUGACGGUACCAGAGGAAUAAGCACCGGCUAACUCCGUGCCAGCAGCCGCGGUAAUACGGAGGGUGCGAGCGUUAUCCGGAUUUACUGGGUUUAAAGGGUGCGUAGGUGGGCUUAUAAGUCAGUGGUGAAAUCUCCGAGCUUAACUUGGAAACUGCCGUUGAUACUAUAGGUCUUGAAUUAUCUGGAGGUAAGCGGAAUAUGUCAUGUGGCGGUGAAAUGCUUAGAUAUGACAUAGAACACCAAUUGCGAAGGCAGCUUACUACAUAUAAAUUGACGCUGAGGCACGAAAGCGUGGGGAUCAAACA